GUGCCAGCCGCCGCGGUAAUACGGAGGGUGCAAGCGUUAAUCGGAAUUACUGGGCGUAAAGCGCGCGUAGGCGGUUUGAUAAGUCGGAUGUGAAAGCCCUGGGCUCAACCUGGGAACUGCAUUCGAUACUGUCUGACUAGAGUAUGGUAGAGGGAAGUGGAAUUCCGGGUGUAGCGGUGAAAUGCGUAGAUAUCCGGAGGAACAUCAGUGGCGAAGGCGACUUCCUGGACCAAUACUGACGCUGAGGUGCGAAAGCGUGGGGAGCAAACAGGAUUAGAAACCCUAGUAGUCC
rnacentral:rRNA from 1 species